rnacentral:rRNA from 1 species
GUCGGGAAUAUUGCGCAAUGGAGGAAACUCUGACGCAGUGACGCCGCGUAUAGGAAGAAGGUUUUCGGAUUGUAAACUAUUGUCGUUAGGGAAGAAAAAAGACAGUACCUAAGGAGGAAGCUCCGGCUAACUACGUGCCAGCAGCCGCGGUAAUACGUAGGGAGCGAGCGUUAUCCGGAUUUAUUGGGUGUAAAGGGUGCGUAGACGGGUCUACAAGUUAGUUGUGAAAUCCCUCGGCUCAACUGAGGAACUGCAGCUAAAACUAUAGAUCUUGAGUGCAGGAGAGGUAAGUGGAAUUCCUAGUGUAGCGGUGAAAUGCGUAGAUAUUAGGAGGAACACCAGUGGCGAAGGCGACUUACUGGACUGUAACUGACGUUGAGGCACGAAAGUGUGGGGAGCAAACAGG